rnacentral:rRNA from 1 species
UAAGGAAUAUUGCUCAAUGGGAGAAAUCCUGAAGCAGCAACGCCGCGUGGAGGAUGAAGGGCUUUCAGCUUGUAAACUCCUGUAAAGAAGGAAAAAAUUCCCAUUAGAUGGGAAAUGAUGGUACUUCUAAAGUAAGCCCCGGCUAACUACGUGCCAGCAGCCGCGGUAAUACGUAGGGGGAAAGCGUUGUCCGGAUGUACUGGGUGUAAAGGGUGGUCAGGCGGAUUUGUAAGUCAGAGGUGAAAUCUCACAGCUUAACUGGGAAACUGCCUUUGAUACUGCAAGUCUAGAGUAUGGAAGAGAGUGAUGGAAUGUCGGGUGUAGCAGUGAAAUGCGUAGAUAUCAGAUAGAACACCAAUGGCGAAGGCAGUCACUUGGUCCAUUACUGACGCUAAAGCACGAAAGCGUGGGUAGCAAACA